rnacentral:rRNA from 1 species
UAAGGAAUAUUGGUCAAUGGACGCAAGUCUGAACCAGCCAUGCCGCGUGAAGGAUGAAGGUCCUCUGGAUUGUAAACUUCUUUUAUCUGGGACGAAAACGGGAUUUUUAUCUCAAUUGACGGUACCAGAGGAAUAAGCACCGGCUAACUCCGUGCCAGCAGCCGCGGUAAUACGGAGGGUGCGAGCGUUAUCCGGAUUUACUGGGUUUAAAGGGUGCGUAGGUGGGCUUAUAAGUCAGUGGUGAAAUCUCCGAGCUUAACUUGGAAACUGCCGCUGAUACUAUGGGUCUUGAAUUAUCUGGAGGUAAGCGGAAUAUGUCAUGUAGCGGUGAAAUGCUUAGAUAUGACAUAGAACACCAAUUGCGAAGGCAGCUUACUACAUAUAAAUUGACGCUGAGGCACGAAAGCGUGGGGAUCAAAC